rnacentral:lncRNA from 1 species
GUGGAUCGACCAGGAGCAAGGAAGAACUAGGGUUUACCCUUGUUCUCACCAAAUUCGCCCAACUGACUAGGAAAAAUUGAUGUUUAUCAACUGCAUGUGUGAAGGAAGAAAGUUCAAACUCUAAGAAACCGGAAGGAUCACAAGACCGAGAUGGCAGAUGCAAGCAACGUUAAUGAUGAUAAUGAUACGGCUCGUCAAGAAGCAUUUCACAAUAGAGUCACGGAAGUGGCAGAAGGGGUUGUGCAAGCUAAUCUUCCACGAUUAGCUCAAGAAGUAGAAAGUCGGGUGUUGGGAGUUGUGGAUGCCAUGAUGACUAGCAAGAUUGAAGAACUGAAAGAACUGAUAGAGGGAUCUAAGGGCAAAAGCAAAGAACGAUGGUGCACACAUAAAGAUUUUAUGGCAUGUCAUCCGACGACGUAUGACGGUAAAAUCGAUCCAAUCGAAUGUC